rnacentral:rRNA from 1 species
AAAGACUGACGCUCAUGCACGAAAGCGUGGGGAUCAAACAGGAUUAGAUACCCUGGUAGUCCACGCUGUAAACGAUGAUCACUCGUUGUUGGCGAUAUACUGUCAGCGACUGAGCGAAAGCAUUAAGUGAUCCACCUGGGGAGUACGGCGGCAACGUUGAAACUCGAAGGAAUUGACGGGGGCCCGCACAAGCGGAGGAGCAUGUGGUUUAAUUCGAUGAUACGCGAGGAACCUUACCUGGGCUUAAAUGCAGGACGACGUAUGCCGAAAGGCGUAUUUCCUUCGGGACGUCUUGCAAGGUGCUGCAUGGUUGUCGUCAGCUCGUGCCGUGAGGUGUCGGGUUAAGUCCCAUAACGAGCGCAACCCUUAUCAUUAGUUGCCAUCAGGUAAUGCUGGGAACUCUAAUGAAACUGCCUACGCAAGUAGUGAGGAAGGUGGGGAUGACGUCAAAUCAGCACGGCCCUUAUGUCCAGGGCGACACACGUGCUACAAUGGCCAGUACAGAGGGUUGCAAA